rnacentral:rRNA from 1 species
CAGUAGCCGCGGUAAUACGAAGGGGGCUAGCGUUGCUCGGAAUCACUGGGCGUAAAGGGUGCGUAGGCGGGUUUUUAAGUCAGAGGUGAAAUCCUGGAGCUCAACUCCAGAACUGCCUUUGAUACUGAAAGUCUUGAGUUCGGGAGAGGUGAGUGGAACUGCGAGUGUAGAGGUGAAAUUCGUAGAUAUUCGCAAGAACACCAGUGGCGAAGGCGGCUCACUGGCCCGAUACUGACGCUGAGGCACGAAAGCGUGGGGAGCAAACAGGAUUAGAUACCCGCGUAGUCCCUGUCUCUUAUAC